AGACAAUAAUUCUGAUGGCAAAAGAACCAAACGGGACAGGUCAAAAAAAAAAAAAAAAAAAAAAAAAAAAAAAAAAAAAAGAUCCACUUAGUGUGUCUCUCUGUGUGUGUGUGUGUGUGUGUGUGUGUGAGUGUGUGUGUGACAGAGAGAGAGUGCCACUUGCUGUGUAUUUCAACACAAAAGGCAGUACUCUUACUGUUUGGGAUUAUCUGGGGAAAGUGCUUUUGUGUACUAGGCUUUCUCUAUAUUUUUCAGGUUUCUUUUCACUUUUGUAUUGUACAAAUUACUUCUUUGUCUGUGUAGCUUUAAGCUUUAGUGUAAAAUAAAUGGGAUCUGCACACAGAAAACAAAAGAGGAGUUAAAGCCUCCCCCCCCCCAGACACUCAAACAAAGCACAGAGAAAGACAGACCCACAAGGCCAUUCUGUUAUUGCGUUAACUGAUCAUGUGUUGCCCUGCCACUUGCAGGCCUCAUCCUGCCGCACAUAUGUGUGCACCAGGACAUGCCAGGAACAGGAAACACAAGAGAGUCAGCCAUCCAAGCUUCACAGGGCCCGAAUCAGCUGAACCCAUAUUCAGCCCACCGCUGCCUCCAAAUCUCCUCCUCCUCUCCUCCGCCUGCUGGGACCAGUAGGCAGCGCAUCGCCUGCUACUGGGACCUUUCGGCAGCAGCAGCCAGUGUGCACCAGGACAUGCCAGGAACAGGAAACACAAGAGAGUCAGCCAUCCAAGCUUCACAGGGCCCGAAUCAGCUGAACCCAUAUUCAGCCCACCGCUGCCUCCAAAUCUCCUCCUCCUCUCCUCCGCCUGCUGGGACCAGUAGGCAGCGCAUCGCCUGCUACUGGGACCUUUCGGCAGCAGCAGCCAGAAUACCUGUCUCCAGCUCUCCCUCCUAGGUCAACAAAGGCACCCAUCUGCUGCUGCUGCCCCUUUGAGAUGGCAGCAUCCUGGGAGAAACGGAACCUGCUUGACUUCCAGAUGCCGCUCCAGCCAGCCAGAGACUCCCCCGCCAAGCAAAUGGACGAUAGAAAACCCAUCUGUGCAUAUGCCAUUCCCAAUAUGCGCUGCCUGAUGUCGGGGCAGCAUGAGCAUGA
ensembl:lncRNA